AUCCUUUGUAAUCUUUUAUUAACAAUUCUCGCAAACUAAUAGCAGCAAUUAAUAUAGUUUGGUACCUGCAUUUGCCAGCGCGUAAUCAAGGGCUGGUUGUGUGAACUCCAGGCCAUGGCAACAUAAGGCAGCAGGCCUAACUAUGGUGUUUAUUGCUGGUGUAAUCUGAGAUCCACUGCUAAAGGCAGAGUAGACCAUGGCUAUCUGUUCAAAAGUUGGAUAAAGUAUUCAUGACGGUGCUGAUUGUGUGUGCAAUUGUGAUGCAGAACACAGCUCCAGGCCGUGGCAAAAUGCAGCAGCAGUCCUAACUAUGUGUUUCAGUGGAGCAGAGCUGCAUGUAAGAAAUGCCAUGGUAAAGGAUCAUUGGUGCCUUCAAUUUAAUAUUGGGAUACAGCUGAAGUAUUAAUGAUGGGAAUGCUGGGGCAGAUAUGAAAACUGAAAUGGAGACGGUCUUCAAAAGAAAGUGUGUCAAGCUGCCUGCUUUGUUUUAUCGAUUGGUCUUGGUGUUUCAACCUGGCUGUCAUGCCAUUGUUUUGGCUCAGAUAUGGCUACCAGUAUUAUACAAUAAAGUAAUAAGUAUACCUUU